rnacentral:rRNA from 1 species
AGAGCGAACGCUGGCGGCAGGCCUAACACAUGCAAGUCGAACGGACUCUUCGGAGUUAGUGGCGGACGGGUGAGUAACACGUGGGAACGUGCCUUUAGGUUCGGAAUAAGCCCGGGAAAUGGGUCUAAUACCGAAUGUGCCCUUGGGGGAAAGAUUUAUCGCCUUUAGAGCGGCCCGCGUCUGAUUAGCUAGUUGGUGGUGUAAUGGACCACCAAGGCGACGAUCAGUAGCUGGUCUGAGAGGAUGACCAGCCACAUUGGGACUGAGACACGGCCCAAAACUCCUACGGGAGGCAGCAGUGGGGAAUCUUGCGCAAAUAGGGACGAAGAC